rnacentral:lncRNA from 1 species
GCGCUUUCCCGCCGGUUGCGGCUGCGGAGAGUUCCCGUCUUCUGGGCUCAGGAUCCGGACGACGGCUCCCGGGGUGCAUUGUGUCCGGGCAGGACUGCGCCCUGCUGCUGCGACAAACAAAGCGCGGAGGGUGAGCGUCUGCAGUCUCCAAGUCCCCUGCUUCGACUUGCGUGCGGACCUGGUGGACGCCCUGAGCAACUUCCGAGGACUGGGCUCCUGAACCCCUAACGCUAAUCUCCCCAAACCCCGUUGGGUCGCUCUCGGCAGAAGUGUGUUCUGAUUCACUUGAGUUCUCACCGCCUGCCGCGCGCUGCGACCGCUGUCUGUUGGGUGUGUGAAAAAUGAAAGUUUUUCUGUAGAAACC